rnacentral:rRNA from 1 species
UUUUAAUUGAAGGCUUGUAUGAAGGGUCGGACAAAGGACAAGCUGUCUUUAAUCUUUCUUUUGAAUUUGUCUUUUAAGUGAAAAGACUUAAAUUAUUUUAAGGGACGAUAAGACCCUAUAAAGCUUUAUAUUAAUAUGUCUUUAUUUUAAUUUUUAAUGUUUACAGAGAUAAAGGUGUUAAAAUAUUAUAUUGGGGUGAUAAGAAUAAUUAAUAAACUGUUCUAAAACAAACAAAGUUAUUUGUAAGCAUAAUAGAUCCUUUAUAUAGAUUGCAAGUUUAAGUUACUUUAGGGAUAACAGCGUUAUUUUUUUUGAGAGUUCUAAUCGAAAAAAAAGUUUGCGACCUCGAUGUUGAAUUAAAAUUUCUUUAUGGUGUAGCCGUUAUAAAAGAAAGUCUGUUCGACUUUUAAAAUUUUACGUGAUCU